rnacentral:rRNA from 1 species
GACGAACCGUGAGAACGUUGUUCGGAAUCACUGGGCUUAAAGGGCGCGUAGGUGGUUUGCCAAGUCGGGGUUGAAAUCUUUCGGCUUAACCGGAAAAGUGGCUUCGAUACUGGCAAGCUGGAGGGAGGUAGGGGCGGAUGGAACUUCCGGUGGAGCGGUGAAAUGUGUUGAUAUCGGAAGGAACGCCGGUGGCGAAAGCGAUCCGCUGGACCUCUUCUGACACUGAGGCGCGAAAGCCAGGGGAGCAAACGGG